AAGAAGGUUACAUGAGUUCAAAAUCCCCCACACUGAUGCAACCCAACACCUCGAGGUUCUGAAGAAGAAAAUAGUAAGUUCAAAAGGCACGCUCAAGUUGGGUCCAAGACUCGGGACAUCACAAGAGUAAGUAGAUUCCUCAAAGUUCAAGAUCGUUUACAAGUGCUGGUGUACGAUAUGGUCCUAAAUACUAACAAGCGCCUACAACACACCAUUCAGUCCCACUGACUUCACCCCCAACUCCAGAAUGUCCCCAAUCGUUUCAAUUCCCAACUCAUGGUCUGGUUGGUUUUGGGAUUCGACUCUCUACACCUAGAUUUCGCUACAAAAUUCUCCUAUGCCACUACUAACUACAACUCAGGUAAGGUCAAGUGUAUUAGUGACUAGGGGUUGGACUUCUACGAUGUGGUCUUCGUUAACGGGUAUAACCUCCUAAUACUAGUGGUAGCAAAAAGAUGGUACUAGAGGGAGAUAGAAUUCCAUGGAUGCCUGGUGGACCUGAACGGGGCGGCCGAGCUUAGAGUAGUGAGUGGGGCUUGAGCUUUAUGAGCAUCACUUGCAAAAGUGCGUAAGGCGUUCGGGAAUCCACAGUUCUACCAUAUGCAACACCCAACACGUGUUGGCCAUUGGCGUACUCAGAGUUCUUCAGGCCCAUGUGCGCACAUGCGUAUAUCAGAUAUCACCAUAGAAACUUAAGACUAUACCGAUAGAUUUUUCGUUACUUUUUUCGUCUUUUUCUUUUAAUUGAUAAUUGAUUUUGCAUCAAUUAAAUCUUUUGUUUUGUUUUCCAUGGUUUUAUGUAGUUGAAUAAAAUUCACUUAUUCAAACCCUAAGGUCUCGAAAAUAUGCUCGGAUAAGGUGCCUUACGAUGUAUGUGCCGCAUCUCGUUCAUUAUUAUUUGAUUUUAUAUAAUUUGGCUACAUUUUAUGAUUAUUAGUGUGUUCUUGCAGUUGCCUGAGUUUCCACAGGGCCCUAAUGAUGAUGAUGAUAAUGUACGAGACAUAAAUCUUUCAAUAUAUUUUGAAUUUCGAUUGCA